rnacentral:rRNA from 1 species
AAAUAACAACACUGGAAAUUUUAUUUCUAGUGAUUGGAAUGAUGGGAAUUUAAACCCCUUUCAGAGUAACAAUUGGAGGGCAAGUCUGGUGCCAGCAGCCGCGGUAAUUCCAGCUCCAAUAGCGUAUAUUAAAGUUGUUGCAGUUAAAAAGCUCGUAGUUGGAUGUCUGCUGGAAGCAAUCAGUCCGCCCUAUUUGUAGGGUGUGCACUUGAUGAAUUCUGGCAUUUUUGUCCCAAUGAUGUAACGGAGCGGUGGUAUUCGGUGAAAGCCGAGUAUCCCGUUUUCCGAUUAUUGGGAUACUGUUACUUUGAGAAAAUUAGAGUGUUUGAAGCAGGCUAAUUGCCUUGAAUACUGCAGCAUGGAAUAACAAUAUAGGAUUUCGGUUCUAUUUUGUUGGUUUCUAGGACUGAAAUAAUGAUUAAUAGGGACAGUUGGGGGCAUUCGUAUUUA